ACCUGGCGGCCGCCGCCUCGCACUGCACCCACCCCCGAUCUAUUCCAAAAACCCCCUCAUUUUCGUCACCCAAAAACACGUAAUUUUUUUCUCCCCCCCACAAAAAAAUCUCAUUUUUGGCACUCCCGCGGGGAAACACCACAAAGAUGGGUGGGCACCAGCUCCCUCACACACGUCCAGCCAUGAGGCCUCGGGGUACCAUAGAGUGUGAGGCCCAAGGCUAAUAACAUGAGGUGGCAGCGUUAAUGAGGUAAAAUAUUGCCACGUUAUUGUUAAUCUCUUAACAAAUGCAUUGAAAACCCAGCACCAUCCAUUAAAAGCUGCCCAGGGGUUGGGAUGUGAGCGGGCAGUUUUUCUCCCUGUUAAUUUAUGACGGGCAAAUCAGAAAGUCGAAGAGCCUAGGUGAGCUGCAAUCCAGUCAGUUUUGGAGUGCACACACGAAAUGAGGCUUUGGGAUUUACUGUUUGACUCCUCACCAAUUUUUAAGGUUCCACAAUCACGUUCCUGUUUUGGGCUUAUUUUUUCCUCCCCAAAAAUUCUUAUUUUCCACCCAUUUUUAACUCUGCUUCCACUAUGGCAUGUGAAAGCAGCACACCAAGAAAUGGGAAAGUGAAGGUUUGGUCCAUCUCCCAUAAAAGCUUGGUGCAAAAUCAGACACAGGAUAAGUCUCUACUUGUAUUAAGCACAGAACCCAUUUAAAAUGAAACCUUCUGAAGGUACUAGGUGGUUAAGUACCUUGAAAAUCGUGUUUCAAGGGUACAUCAGGGGAUUUGUCUUUGCUGAGGUGGAUGAGAAGCCAGCCCUUUCAAGGCGUUUGCUGUAGACAUCACAAGAAAUCAAAGUCCUGGUGCCUAUAGGAGCUGAAGCACCAGAGUGGCUGAUCAGAGCCCAGGGAUUUACAGUCACAACAGUUACUGACAACAAAUUGUAGGUACCCUGCAAAUCCCCGCGUGUGACGUGUGAAUGAUGCCUGAGACAAAAAGUACCAGGGCUGCCCGCAAGCACAACGCUAAGAAAUUACAGUAAAUCAACCAAAUAGCAGAGGAGCUAUGGGAAAGGAGCAAACACCCAACAGCUGGUGGUGGAAAUGUGCUGUUGGAUGACCAGAGUAGCUCCAUAGCAGCACAUCAUUGUAAAUUACACAUGUGGAAAAUCCAGAAGCCUGAUUGUUACUCCACGAAUGGCUCAUGUUUUGCACCAAGCCAAUCUUAGGCAAGUGAACGGCCUGUCCUCUGACACUUUCACAUGAAGAUCUUCACAGAUGGGAAAGGGUUUCUCUUAGGGGCUCUUGGAGCAGAAAGUGCCACCAAUGAAUGGUGAAGCCCUGCAGAAAGUGCCAUUGACUGACAGCAGUGACGCCCACUGGCACUGCCAGCCCCAGGAGCUGCCAGGAGCUCCCCUGGAGUUGGUCUUCAGCCACCAAGCUGCUCACAAGUCCAGCAUCUGUUCUUUGCUUAACAUGACUGGGAGCCGUAUGGACACAGUCCUCCUCUCUCAUUCCUGGGGGCAGAUGCCAGCGUGGUCUUAUGUCACUUCCAAGAGAAAAAGCCCUGACCUACACAGUGGCCAUCAGACAAACCAGGAUCUUAAGGAACAGCAGGCUUGGCAAAGCAUGAUAACAAUUUUUAGAGCAUGUGGCAGCCCACAGAGAAAUUUCGCUCGGUAAGUAUUGUUGUGAUUUUGUGUGAUUACAGAUAUGCAGAAAAGCCAAAUUGAAAUAAACUUAUUGAGGAUAUGCACAAGUGAAGAGUGCAAAAAGAAGCAAUCACUCUGUUCUCAUCCCUUAAAUCCUCUGGUCCCAAAUCCACCAGACCCAUACACCACCAGUUAGGCUUGGCAGGGAACGGCAGCUCAGUGCGAAAAGUCACGCAGUCCCCAGCUUCUCCAUGAAACUGAUGACAAGGGCAUCAAAUUGAUGCUUCUGCCAGAACUGGCCAGAGUACAAAAUCUCAUUCCUGAGCAGAUGUCAGGUAGGGCGAACAUUCAAUCUCCACAAGGCUUGGACAAAAAUGUAGGACAGCAGCACAGAGGUGAAAGAGGUUUGGUGAAAAGAACAGAUCCCAAGUCUCCGGCCAAAAUAUUUCAAAGCAACUUCUGCCGAGAAGAUACAAUCAACAAUUCCAGUGAGAAAGAAUGUCGGCUUUAGCACACACAAAAAACCUUCCACUAACAUCUCCCAAAUGGAAAAGAUAUUAUAAACAACAUUCACCUCACUCUCCUCCCUCCCUGUCACAGAAAUGACCAUGAUUCUUUACUACAUACCUUCAAAAACAGUCCUUUGCAGAUGAAAAGAAAUAAAAUCUAACCUUAAGAAGUACAUUCAGAGACCCCCUUUAUGCCACCGCUCUGUGUUAUGGAAAAAUGAAGGUAAAAAUCUGUUGAAAAACAUUUCCCUGCUGUAUUGUGAUUGACAUCUGACAGUGCUCAGUGGUGUCCUAACUUGGAUGAAUUUAAAUGACAAGCUUUCCUUUAUAAGUAACAGAGCUCCUUUUACAAUAGAACAGCACGAUUACUUCAUGGAAAGGAAAAAAAGGAAGAAUCAAAGUUUUUCUUCAAAUCCCUGGGGGCACCCCUGACCUGUCACCAGGCUACGACCUUCCCUCGUUAAUCUAUGCAAAUCGGAUGACUCUAAUUUGUGGCGCCGAUUGCUUUGCCACACCUUUAAAUUCAGAGAUCAGCUCCGGGAUGAUGGCUACAUCACACAGAGUUCAGAUCACCUUCAUGUUGCCAACAUUUUUUAUGCCACGACAGAUGACUUCCCCACCAUUCUGGGACAAGGCAGUCCACGCAGCCCUCCAGACUACUUUUUGAUUAACAUCGAGACAAAAGGCAGUGGUGUUUUGCCUCCUCGUUUGUGAUUAGCAGCAUUGCUGCUGUAAGCAUUCCUAAGCUAGAACCCCUGGGAAGAGUAUCAGAUCCCAGGUCAAGGCACAGACUGCCAAUAUCACGGCUUUGCUAACAGUCACCCAAUCGCUUUUAUGGACAUGAAAAAAAAAAAAAAAAAAGAAAUAAAAAAAAAGGAGAAGGGAAAAAAAAAGGUAUUCACUGUAAUAAGCACUGGUUCCAACUGAGAGAUAUUAUGUCAAACUCUAAGGCCUGUUUCAAAACUUUCCCCAUUCACGUAACUUAAUACACUUUGUAAGCCAAAGAGGGCAAUAUCACAGAAGAUGCUCUAUGUUCACCUUCCACGUCACACAAAGGCCAUGGAAGCUAUUUUGUCUGGGUUCAGUGCAGUAUGGGGGUUAAACUUUUUGCUUUAAAUUGGGUCCUCAACAAGGAUACACUAUCUUUUAUUUAACCCUAGCCUAACUUUAUCCCUAGCUUUAUCCCUCUUCUGCAGUAAAACUUUUGUCUUCACAGUGCUGAAAAAGUGCAGAUUUUCAUUUAUACUGGAAAAUGUCUUAGUUAUUUCUGUUAUCCACAUACACAUCUUUCCAUUCAGAAAGUUGUGAACCCCAUUUUCCUGAAAACCCAAAAGCACGUGGAAGAAUAAUUAAAACAUCCCAAGAAUUUAAUCCGUGCCCUGUGUGAUCAAUCUAACAACACACUCUGAGCAAUGAUCUUAUUUGCUCAUGCCUUGCAACUCUGACAAUGCUCAAACCUGUUAACCAUCUUUUCAAACAAACUCUGAAGGUUGCCAGUUGUGACAGAUUUGGACCAGAGUUGAUGGUAACAUGGGAGUUAGUUAAAGUGAUUUGAUAAGCUUGUAGCAGCUUGAGGGGCGGAAUCAUUCCAAAUAAGUAAACAACAUUGUCAACA